rnacentral:rRNA from 1 species
UACGGAGGGGGCUAGCGUUGUUCGGAAUUACUGGGCGUAAAGCGCACGUAGGCGGCUUUGUAAGUUAGAGGUGAAAGCCCGGAGCUCAACUCCGGAAUUGCCUUUAAGACUGCAUCGCUAGAAUUGUGGAGAGGUAAGUGGAAUUCCGAGUGUAGAGGUGAAAUUCGUAGAUAUUCGGAAGAAACACCAGUGGCGAAGGCGACUUACUGGACACAUAUUGACGCUGAGGUGCGAAAAGCGUGGGGAGCAAACAGG